rnacentral:rRNA from 1 species
ACGAACGCUGGCGGCGUGCUUAACACAUGCAAGUCGAACGGAAAGGCCCUGCUUUUGUGGGGUGCUCGAGUGGCGAACGGGUGAGUAACACGUGAGUAACCUGCCCUUGACUUUGGGAUAACUUCAGGAAACUGGGGCUAAUACCGGAUAGGAGCUCCUGCUGCAUGGUGGGGGUUGGAAAGUUUCGGCGGUUGGGGAUGGACUCGCGGCUUAUUAGCUUGUUGGUGGGGUAGUGGCUUACCAAGGCUUUGACGGGUAGCCGGCCUGAGAGGGUGACCGGCCACAUUGGGACUGAGAUACGGCCCAGACUCCUACGGGAGGCAACAGUGGGGAAUAUUGCACAAUGGGCGGAAGCCUGAUGCAGCAACGCCGCGUGCGGGAUGACGGCCUUCGGGUUGUAAACCGCUUUCGCCUGUGACGAAGCGUGAGUGACGGUAAUGGGUAAAGAAGCACCGGCUAACUACGU